AUUGAACGCUGGCGGCAGGCCUAACACAUGCAAGUCGAGCGGAGCGGCGGACGGGUGAGUAAUGCCUAGGAAUCUGCCUGGUAGUGGGGGAUAACGUCCGGAAACGGGCGCUAAUACCGCAUACUAUCAGAUGAGCCUAGGGCGGAUUAGCUAGUUGGUGGGGUAAAGGCCUACCAAGGCGACGAUCCGUAACUGGUCUGAGAGGAUGAUCAGUAACACUGGAACUGAGACACGGUCCAGACUCCUACGGGAGGCAGCAGUGGGGAAUAUUCGGCAAUGGGCGAAAGCCUGACCGAGCCAUGCCGCGUGUGUGAAGAAGGUCUUCGGAUUGUAAAGCACUGUUAGUUGGGAGGCGUUACCUACAGAGUAAGCAACGGCUAACUUCGUGCCAGCAGCCGCGGUAAUAC
rnacentral:rRNA from 1 species